ACUACCUUAGUAUAAGUGUACAGGCGGUUUCCACCCACCAAGUUCUGCCACUGGCAGAAGGCAGUA
rnacentral:tRNA from 1 species